rnacentral:lncRNA from 1 species
AAACCUCCAUCUAUCUAUUCAUUCAACAUUUACUGAACUCUAAUUUUCUUUUCUUGAAGAGAGGAAAGUUUAAUAGGCAAACAAACUAUUAAUAGCAUCUGGUGUGCCCUGAGUGCUUGCUAUGUGCCAGGGCCAAGUAGGUCUCUAUUUUGCGGAAGUUAAAAUAUGAUGUAAUCGGGUGGUAUGAGCAUUAAAAAAAAUGUAAUUGAGGUUACAACCAAGGUGUAUUUGCUUUCAAAUCCAGAUCUUUUUGACUAUGCUAAAUACAAGCAAAUUCAAAAAGGGGAAUUAGCCGGCUGCUGUGGCUCACACCAGUAAUCCCAGUGCUUUGGGAGGCCGAGGGUGGAUAGCUUCGAGGCCAGGAAUUCCGGACCAGCCCGGGCAACAAAAUGUUAAAUAAAAAAAUUUUAAAAAAUUAAAUAAAAAAAUUUAAAAAACAAAAAAGGGUAUUAAACAACUCACAGACAGAUACUGCACAGGAUUUUUGGUACGUUUAGGGCAUCUGCAUGGUACUUGGUUUGUUCUGGGUUGCUGAGAACAUUCACAGGUCAUACACCAGUUUUCCUUUCUGGAGAGCUUCUGUCUGUAUAUCUUUUCCUGGAGAAUCUGUUUGACAUCCACAACACACACUCCUCAUUUAUUGCCAGAAACGAUGAUGUUUUAUGAUUUACAUUAUGUGUGUACACACGCACGCACGCGCGCGUGUUCCUUUCUGGCCCUCUUGUUUACCAUAAGAGGAAGCAAUUACCUUUAGCAUCAAUAAAAGAUUGCAGAAUAAAUAUUUGUUCUUUGUAAUGGGCGACAUGCACCAGCCCCUAAGACAUCCUGAGGUUCAGGCUAUCAACGCAAAGUGCACACGCCUCCCAUGCGCCGUUUCCUUGCAGUUCCAAAUCCCAGAUGUCUCAGGCUGCAGCUUCCGUUGCCUUUAACUACAUCCUCCUUUUUCCAACAAACCUUCCCCCUCAACCCCUUCGAGACCGACCGGCAGGGCCCAGGGGCGGGUGGCGUGACCUUGGUUCAUCCUCGGCCGCGGAGACGCGGCGUGACCUUGGCCAAGUCCCCGCUUCCCCAUCCGCAGACUUGCGCGGCUGGACCGCUCGGUCUCCGCUCCGGCCGCUAGGCGUCCUGCGCCGCUGUUCUUAUCUCCCCCGGCUUCCUCCGCGCACCCCACCAGUUCUACGCCUACGCUGCCGGCGUAGCGGUCGCCUGGAGUCGCGCGUCCCUCUCCUUUCAGAUGCUGGUUUCCACCGCGCGAACUGGGAGGGCGCGAUUCGCGAACGCGGCCUGCGCUGCGAGCGCGCGGCCGUCCCGCAGGCCGGUGCAGCCUUACGCCGCUGACGCAUCGCGCCCAAGAUGGCGGCGCGGUCGUCGUCGGGGGUGGCGGCGGCAGAGGGGGCGGCGGCCCUGGCGGCAGCGGAGACGGCAGCCGUGACGGUGGCAGCGGCGGCGCGGGACCUGGGCCUGGGGGAA